rnacentral:rRNA from 1 species
GGAGUCUAGCAUGUGCGCGAGUCAUUGGGACUUUGCGAAACCUAAAGGCGAAAUGAAAGUGAAGGUCGGCCUCGCGCCAACCGAGGGAGGAUGGGCCACGUCACGACGCGGCCCCGCACUCCCGGGGCGUCUCGUUCUCAUCGCGAGAAGAGGCGCACCCAGAGCGUACACGCUGGGACCCGAAAGAUGGUGAACUAUGCCUGGUCAGGACGAAGUCAGGGGAAACCCUGAUGGAGGUCCGAAGCGAUUCUGACGUGCAAAUCGAUCGUCGGAACUGGGUAUAGGGGCGAAAGACUAAUCGAACCAUCUAGUAGCUGGUUCCCUCCGAAGUUUCCCUCAGGAUAGCUGGCGCUCGCUUUUGCGAGUCUCAUCUGGUAAAGCGAAUGAUUAGAGGCAUUGGGGUCGAAACGGCCUCAACCUAUUCUCAAACUUUAAAUGGGUGAGAUCUCCGGCUUGCUUAAAAGCUGAAGCCGCGAGAUCGGAUCAGAGUGCCAAGUGGGCCAUUUUUGGUAAGCAGAACUGGCGCUGUGGGAUGAACCAAACGCAGAGUUAAAGCUCCUAAAUCGACGCUUAUGGGAUACCAUGAAAGGCGUUGGUAACUUAAGACAGCAGGACGGUGGCCAUGGAA